AAGUCGUAACAAGGUCUCCGUUGGUGAACCAGCGGAGGGAUCAUUAUAGAGUUUUCUAAACUCCCAACCCAUGUGAACUUACCAUUGUUGCCUCGGCAGAAGCUGCUCGGCGCGCCUUACCUUGGAACGGCCUACCCUGUAGCGCCUUACCCUGGAACGGCUUACCCUGCAACGGCUGCCGGUGGACUACCAAACUCUUGUUAUUUUAUGGUUAUCUGAGCGUCUUAUUUUAAUAAGUCAAAACUUUCAACAACGGAUCUCUUGGUUCUG
rnacentral:misc_RNA from 1 species